rnacentral:misc_RNA from 1 species
GAUGAAGAACGUAGCGAAAUGCGAUAAGUAGUGUGAAUUGCAGAAUUCAGUGAAUCAUCGAAUCUUUGAACGCACAUUGCGCCCCUUGGUAUCCCGAGGGGCAUGCCUGUUCGAGCGUCAUUUCACCACUCAAGCCUGGCUUGGUGUUGGGCGACGUCCUCUUUGGGGACGCGCCUCGAAACGCUCGGCGGCGUGGCACCGGCUUUAAGCGUAGCAGAAUCUUUCGCUUUGGAAGUCGGGGCCCCGUCUGCCGGAAGACCUGCUCGCAAGGUUGACCUCGGAUCAGGCAGGGAUACCCGCUGAACUUAAGCAUAUCAUAAGCGAGGA